GCCGCCUUAGCUCAGCUGGUAGAGCACCACCAUGGUAAGGUGGGGGUCGUCAGUUCAAAUCUGACAGGUGGCUCUA
rnacentral:tRNA from 1 species